rnacentral:rRNA from 1 species
UACGUAGGGUGCGAGCGUUAAUCGGAAUUACUGGGCGUAAAGCGUGCGCAGGCGGCGCGUUAAGACAGGUGUGAAAUUUCGGAGCUUAACUCCGAAACUGCAUUUGAUACUGCGGUGCUUGAGGACUGGAGAGGAGACUGGAAUUCACGGUGUAGCAGUGAAAUGCGUAGAUAUCGUGAGGAAGACCAGUGGCGAAGGCGGGUCUCUGGACAGUUCCUGACACUGAGGCACGAAGGCCAGGGGAGCAAACGGG